UGGGGAAUAUUGGACAAUGGGCGAAAGCCUGAUCCAGCCAUGCCGCGUGUGUGAAGAAGGUCUUCGGAUUGUAAAGCACUUUAAGUUGGGAGGAAGGGCAGUAAAUUAAUACUUUGCUGUUUUGACGUUACCGACAGAAUAAGCACCGGCUAACUCUGUGC
rnacentral:rRNA from 1 species